GUUAGCUGCAACCGUUGGUCGAGUGUCUAGCAGCAGGAGACACAAGACGACGAAGAUAGUGGCCAUCCUGGGUACGAUAUUGAAAGACGUUCCUUUGCUUCCCUUAACAAGCACCAGUAUUUUUGGCUGCAACUUGACGAAUCCGGUAGCACAAGCACGAUCCGCGUAAGAUACGCAUCCGCAACGAACAGACACACCAACAGAGUCCCCCGUUUCCUUCGGCAGCCCGUACGAACUUUCAAGGUCGUCCUCCCACUCGCGAAAUGGUCCACACCGAUGUUUGUCCGCGCACGCACGCCCACACUUAGCGAAAUAAACAGGAGGGCAAGUAAAAACGAGCAAAACAUGAUGCGGGGAUGGCAUACGUUCUCAGAGAGGGCAGUCGUAACAGCGGAAA
rnacentral:misc_RNA from 1 species